AUGGUGGAUCCUGAGAGAGGUAGAGAUACGCCCUCGAUCGAGCAAGACCGGCGCCCCGGAGAGGGAGCGACAUCUAUCUCAGUGGGGGAGAACGGCGGUCCUGCGGAUUGUAUGGAGGUAGACGAUAUCAAAGCCUCUAGCGUGGAUCAGAACGAACCAAACCCAGGAAUGGAAAACAAGCCUGGCACCGAGACAAUUGAUGUUGAGCACAGGGAGGAGGAUGAUACCCAACCAGCGCAAGUCGUCGAAGAAGACAACAGCGCCCAAGCAGAUGAAGAUGGAUGGAUAAGACGUCAGAGGAACAAAAAAGGGAAACCAUGCAGAGCAGCAGAGGAUGGAAGCCUUGGCACAAUCGAGAGGGCGAUGGAUGAAGCUGUGAAGCUCGGAAAGAAAAUUGUCUUUGAACCAGCUGUGGGCAUGUCCUUCAACUCUGAGCAGGAGGCAUACGAGUUUUACAAUGCAUAUUCAUGGGAAGUCGGAGUUGGCACAAUCGAUGGCUGGAUUAAAACGCCACCCCCACUACUGAAACAUAAAGAGCCGUCCAAAAACAGUGCGGAACCUUGCAUAGUGAGUUGA
rnacentral:rRNA from 1 species